rnacentral:rRNA from 1 species
ACGAACGCUGGCGGCGUGCUUAACACAUGCAAGUCGAACGGAAAGGCCUCUUUCGGGGGGUACUCGAGUGGCGAACGGGUGAGUAACACGUGAGUAACCUGUCCUUGACUUUGGGAUAACUUCAGGAAACUGGGGCUAAUACCGGAUAGGAGCUCCUGCUGCAUGGUGGGGGUUGGAAAGUUUCGGCGGUUGGGGAUGGACUCGCGGCUUAUCAGCUUGUUGGUGGGGUAGUGGCUUACCAAGGCUUUGACGGGUAGCCGGCCUGAGAGGGUGACCGGCCACAUUGGGACUGAGAUACGGCCCAGACUCCUACGGGAGGCAGCAGUGGGGAAUAUUGCACAAUGGGUGGAAGCCUGAUGCAGCAACGCCGUGUGCGGGAUGACGGCCUUCGGGUUGUAAACCGCUUUCGCUCAUGACGAAGCUUUGUGUGACGGUAGUGGGUAAAGAAGCACCGGCUAACUACGUG